rnacentral:tRNA from 2 species
AGGGAGUUAGUCUAAACAAGACACCUAAUUUCGACUUAGAAGACCCCAGCUAAAACCUGGGACACCCGU